GCCAGGCGCGGUGGUGUGUACCUGUAGUCCCACCUACUCGGGAGGCUGAGGGUGGAGGAUCACUUGAGUCCAGGAGUUCUGGUCUGUAGUGCACUGUGCGGAUUGGGUGUCCUCACUAAGUUUGGCAUCAGUAUAGUGACCUCCUAGGAGCAGGAGACCACCAGGUUGCCUAAGGAGGGGUGAGCUGGCCCAGGUCAGAAAUGGAGCAGGUCAAAACUCCCGCGCUGAUCAGUAGUGGGAUUGUGCCUGUGAAUAGCCACUGCACUCCUGCCUGGGCAACAUAGCGAGACCCCAUCUCU
rnacentral:SRP_RNA from 1 species